AUUCAACGAAAGACUCCGUCAGUUGAAUACUUGUUGGAGCAGAUUGUUACCAAAUAGAGAUACAGAAUAGCGGGCGUUUGUAGACGUGAAUUAGGCGAGAAAGAGAUAAGCGAUGAUAACAACUUUGUGUGCGCGUUUAAUUUGAUGGUUUCAAUCAUACCAAAUUGAUAACUGAUAACGUUUUCAAUAGCUAUAGUGAUACUAAUUUCUAAUAAUGAUCUACAUCUCAUCUCAACCAACUAACAUGUGAAGAGAUAUCUAUUCAAUUUCAUCAAAAAGGACUUCACUUCAUUCUACUGAUAUUUGUGUCUAUAAUGGAUAGAUUUUACGUUUGCGUCUGUAUCGAUGUAAUCUUCAGCUAAAUUAACUGUGAAGUUAAUGAUAUGACUUAUCUUUACAUGCUGUGAAUUGUGAAUUUUCUACGUUCCCAGAAUUUUUCCAGAUCAAGGAUCGACUCACUUCGGCAAUACCAGUUCCCAGUGUUCAGGAAGCGAUCAAAACGAAUAUUCAAAGCAAAAUCUUGGUAUUACAUUCCUUUUGCGGAAUUUGACCUUAUGUUUCAACAGACUUCGCAGUUGAUUCAUAGCGUACAGAACCGUUGCAUGGCUGGUUUCACGAUUCUACUGACAUUAAGAAUCUUUCCGGGCUCGAACUAAUUACAACUAACUUGUAACACCAGCGCUCUAUGCAUUGUACCGCCAACGCGAUCUAAAAGUAACUAACUUUGUUUUCUCAGGGCUGGUUACCGUAUACGUGAUAAAGUUUGCACAAUAAAACAACGUAAACAUUUAAAAAAACUAA